AAGUCGUAACAAGGUUUCCGUAGGUGAACCUGCGGAAGGAUCAUUACAAUUCAGUAGCUUGCUACUGGUCGGGAGGUGCUGUAAGUCCGCAUAGUUUAAUUACUGAUGAGCGGCAAGCCCUCUGUCUGUACCCUUGUCUUUUGCGCACUCAUGUUUCCUCGGCGGGCUUGCCCGCCGACUGGACAACCUUAUAACCUUUUUAAUUUUCAAUCAGCGUCUGAAAAAACUUAAUAAUUACAACUUUCAACAACGGAUCUCUUGGUUCUG
rnacentral:misc_RNA from 1 species